ACGGGAGGCAGCAGUGGGGAAUAUUGCACAAUGGGGGAAACCCUGAUGCAGCGACGCCGCGUGAGUGAAGAAGUAUUUCGGUAUGUAAAGCUCUAUCAGCAAGGAAGAAAAUGACGGUACUUGACUAAGAAGCCCCGGCUAACUACGUGCCAGCAGCCGCGGUAAUACGUAGGGGGCAAGCGUUAUCCGGAUUUACUGGGUGUAAGGGGAGCGUAGACGGUGAGGCAAGUCUGAAGUGAAAUGCAUGGGCUCAACCCAUGAACUGCUUUGGAAACUGUCUGACUAGAGUGCAGGAGAGGUAAGUGGAAUUCCUAGUGUAGCGGUGAAAUGCGUAGAUAUUAGGAGGAACACCAGUGGCGAAGGCGGCUUACUGGACUGUAACUGACGUUGAGGCUCGAAAGCGUGGGGAGCAAACAGGAUUAGAUACCCUGGUA
rnacentral:rRNA from 1 species